rnacentral:rRNA from 1 species
CGGGAAACUGUGGAUAAUACCCGAUAAUGUCUUAGGACCAAAGGUGUAAUUCCACCAGGGGACGAGUCUGCACCCUAUUAGCUUGUUGGCGAGGUAAUGGCUCACCAAGGCGAUGAUGGGUAGCGGGUGUGAGAGCACGACCCGCGUCACUGGGACUGAGAACUGCCCAGACACCUACGGGUGGCUGCAGUCGAGGAUUUUUGGCAAUGAGCGCAAGCUUGACCAAGCGAUGCCGCGUGCGGGAUGAAGGCCUUCGGGUUGUAAACCGCUGUCAGUGUGGAGGAAAACUUGGUGUAGAGCCAAGUUUGACUAAUACGCAGAGGAAGUGAGGGCUAAACUCGUGCCAGCAGCCGCGGUAAGACGAGUCUCACGAACGUUAUUCGGAAUUACUGGGCUUAAAGGGUGCGUAGGCGGUGGGGUAAGUCGGGUGUGAAAUACCAUAGCUUAACUAUGGAACUGCACUCGAUACUACUUCGCUAGAGUAAGACAGAGGUGAGUGGAACUGAGGGUGGAGCGGUGAAAUGCGUUGAUAUCCUCAGGAACACCGGUGGCGAAGGCGACUCACUGGGUCUUUACUGACGCUGAUGCACGAAAGCUAGGGUAGCAAACGGGAUUAGAUACCCCGGUAGUCCUAGCCGUAAACUCUGAGAACUUGAUUGAAGGAUCCUCCAUAGUCUUUCAGUCGUAGCGA